rnacentral:lncRNA from 1 species
UAAUUAAUUAAGUUGAGUUUAGUUUAAAGAGAGUUCGGGAAAAUCCUUCAUUAAUUAGUCACUCUAUUCUCCCACCUACUCCCUAAAAUUUCUUCCCUCUAAUUAAUUUAUCCAUUUUCUCACGUACUUCAAAAAAAAAAUUUGUUUUUUGGUACAACAAUUGAACGAAAGAGAUUUAAUCUUCAAUUUUACAAUAAAAUUGUAAUUACAAUAUAGGCAAAAAGUAAAAUUAGUGACAACGUCAUCAUUUAAUUUAUUUUCUUUACUUUUCGCAUCUAUUGAAGAACUGCAUCUUACAAUCUUACACUUCAAACACAAAAUUUACUAACUUUAGCAUAUCGAAUCUAAUAUUAAUUAUUUUAGCUUAGUGGACCGAAGGACCUUAAUAACAAUAUUAGGUGAUAUAUUAUUUUGAAUAAAACUUGUACUUUUGAUCCAUGAAGUUUGUAUUUUGAAGUAUUUUAUGUUACCAAUUUUAUGUUUCGUGGGUAACCAAAUCUAUGUGGCAACACUUUUGUUAAUAUAUAUAUAAUUAAAGUACACUUCUUUUAUAUUCUUCUGAUUACUUUUAUCGUCAAUGUUACCGUUAUCGUGUGUCAACUUUUUUUUUUCACUCUCUUUUUCUUUCAUCUUCCCUUUGUCAACUUUUAAAAAACAUAGCAAAUAUGAUAACUCAAGGGUAAGAAUGCAAUCAAACUGAAAUCGUAGGGAACCAGAAGUGUAAUAUUUUAUUGUUUUGUUUUAGGUCUCCAUACUAUUCUUUGAAGAAAAAAAAAAAAAAAGUAAUUACAAUGGAUAGCAGAAUUAGAACGUAAUCUACUAUGAUAGACUUUUAAUAACUAUAUAAUCUUUCACUUGUUACCAAAGCUAAAUCUAGUUUUGCACCUUAAUGUAAAAUCAAGUAUAAAUCAUUAGUGCUUUUUGAUCACCAAUAUGUAAAAAAUUUAUAUCUUUUUAUUAUUUUUCACAAUUUUUUUUUAAUUUUAGUAUUUAUACUUGUUGAACUUUUAAAUUUAAUAGUUUUUAUAUUUAAAAAUAACUAAAUCUAAUUUAUAUAUGUUCUUCACUAAAAACUCGUUCUAUUAAUCUUCCUUCGACAAAUUUGAUUUCUUAUUCAAAUAUCUAAAUCUCAUAAUAUCAUAUUGUGAAAUUAAAUCAAAUCCAAACACAAAGACUGUUUUUAUAUUUAAAGAAAAAUACAUGGAAUAUAUAUAAACUAAACUUGAAAACAUUUCAACAUAUAAAAUUACACAAUUUAUAAUUAGAAGUAAUUAAAUAAAUAAGGAAGAAAAAAGAAUUGGAGAAAGGAAUGAUGAAUUAGACCAAUGUCCGAUCCGACGACUUACUGCCGAUUUUAUAUACUUUGCAUCAACAACACAUAAACACAAACAUCCAUUUUUCUUUUUCUUUUCUUUCUCAAAAUUAUUAUCAUCAUUAUUAUAUUUAAUAAGAAAAGAGUUUAAAAGAAGAAAAAAAAAAUGAAAGGCGUUGAUUGGAUUUAUCUCUGGCAGUCCAUCAUACGCACAAAGUCGUCGAAGCAGACGAACCCAUCCCCAUUUUUGUCUACACCUGCUAUCAUACGCUGACAAUCCUCUAACGUGCACCCAUCGUCUCCCAUAGCUGCGAACACACUAAAAAGCUCCUCCGCCGUAAUUCUCCCGUCGUGGUCCGCGUCGAAUAUCUCAAACGUAUCACGUAACUCGGAGUGGCAAGUCGGUCCAACCCGGUCCAUUUCGCCCAUCAUGAUCUUAAUCUCUUCCUCACUCGGCGGUUCGGCUCCGAUUAGGCCGAGUAGAGCCUUUAGUUCUUUACGAGAGAGAGUGGGGUCGGAGAAAUCGGACCAGUCGAGGGAGGGUAGAACGCUGGUGGGGGUUCCUGCCGCGGAGGAGGAGGAGGAGGAGGAGGCGGAGCCGAAAGAAGGAGGUUGAGAUCGGGAGAGUUUGGAGCGGUGGGAUUUGGAAGAGAAGAGACGGUUGGGGUUUAAGGAUUUGAGAAGCUUCAUGUUUGAGGGAAAUGAAGUAUGAAUUUUGAUUUGGGGUUUUGGAAAUGGAAGUUUGUUUUGAAGACAAGUU